rnacentral:rRNA from 1 species
UACGAAGGGGGCUAGCGUUGUUCGGAAUUACUGGGCGUAAAGCGUACGUAGGCGGUGACUCAAGUCAGAGGUGAAAGCCUGGAGCUCAACUCCAGAACUGCCUUUGAAACUAGGUCGCUAGAAUCACGGAGAGGUGAGUGGAAUUCCGAGUGUAGAGGUGAAAUUCGUAGAUAUUCGGAAGAACACCAGUGGCGAAGGCGGCUCACUGGACGUGUAUUGACGCUGAGGUACGAAAGCGUGGGGAGCAAACAGG